UAGAAGGCGAUUUUUGGAGGAAUUUUCACGUGGGUGUUUGGGAUUUCGAGACGUGGGCCCGGGAGCCGGGACAUUUGGAGGCCGAUUCGCGAGGCAAAGGCAUAUUGGAGUAAAGUUUUGCUCGAAUUGAG